rnacentral:snRNA from 1 species
GUACUUACCUGGACGGGGUCGACGGGCGAUCAAGAUGGCCCGUGGCCUAGAUCAAUGGCUCACAUUGCACUUGGUGAGCGCGUUGGUUUACCAUCUCCCCAAGUGGGAGAGUGGACGUCAUAAUUUGUGGUAGAGGGGGUACGCGUUCGCGCGGCCCCUGC